rnacentral:rRNA from 1 species
CCUACGGGAGGCAGCAGUGGGGAAUAUUGCACAAUGGGGGAAACCCUGAUGCAGCGACGCCGCGUGAGGGAAGAAGUAUUUCGGUACGUAAAGCUCUAUUAGCAGGGAAGAAAAUGACGGUACCUGACUAAUAAGCUCCGGCUAACUACGUGCCAGCAGCUGCGGGAAUACGUAGGGGGCAAGCGCUAUCCGGAUUUACUGGGUGGAAAGGGAGCGUAGACGGCAGCGCAAGGCUGGAGUGAAAUCCCAUGGCUUAACCAUGGAACUGCUUUGGAAACUGUGCAGCUGGAGUGAAGGAGAGGUAAGCGGAAUUCCUAGUGAAGCGGUGAAAUGCGUAGAUAUUAGGAGGAACACCAGUGGCGAAGGCGGCUUACUGGACUGUAACUGACGUUGAGGCUCGAAAGCGUGGGGAGCAAACAGGAUUAGAUACCCGGGUAGUC